GGCUCCAAUAGCUCAGUGGUAGAGCGUUUGCACCGAAAUCGCAAAGGUCAUGGGUUCGAAUCCUGUUGGGAUCA